GGUGGUACAGGAUGGGCCCGCGUCUGAUUAGCUGGUUGGCAGGGUAACGGCCUACCAAGGCAACGAUCAGUAGCCGGUCUGAGAGGAUGAACGGCCACAUUGGAACUGAGACACGGUCCAAACUCUACGGGAGGCAGCAGUGGGGAAUAUUGCACAAUGGGGGAAACCCUGAUGCAGCAACGCCGCGUGAGUGAAGAAGUAUUUCGGUAUGUAAAGCUCUAUCAGCAGGGAAGAUAAUGACGGUACCUGACUAAGAAGCUCCGGCUAAAUACGUGCCAGCAGCCGCGGUAAUACGUAUGGAGCAAGCGUUAUCCGGAUUUACUGGGUGUAAAGGGUGCGUAGGUGGCAGUGCAAGUCAGAUGUGAAAGGCCGGGGCUCAACCCCGGAGCUGCAUUUGAAACUGCUCGGCUAGAGUACAGGAGAGGCAGGCGGAAUUCCUAGUGUAGCGGUGAAAUGCGUAGAUAUUAGGAGGAACACCAGUGGCGAAGGCGGCCUGCUGGACUGUUACUGACACUGAGGCACGAAAGCGUGGGGAGCAAACAGGAUUAGAUACCCUGGUAGUCCACGCCGUAAACGAUGAGUACUAGGUGUCGGGGCCGU
rnacentral:rRNA from 1 species